AAUACCUAUUCAGAGAACAUAUUCCAGAAGAGAUUCUUUGGGUCCUCUAAAAGCCUGAUGGCAUGAACUGAUACCCUUCCUGGCGAACUCCCUCUGAUUUUGUUCUAUCUUUUUCUCCAGGCUCCCUCAACCCACUUGGCCUGUUCAUUUGUUUAUUCAUGCCAUAAAUAUUCCUCCCAUCAGAUAUUACUGAUCCUCCAACUGGUCUUAUUCUCCCGGCAUUCCACAAAACAAGACUUUUAUUCCUAAAAACAUUUAUCAGAGUUGAUAGCUGUGCUGCAGAGGUACAAAAGCCCAUACUUGGAGUAACAUCAUCAACAGACCUCCAAGGGGAAGGACAAUUCCAGGGACUAGAAACCUGCAGCAGGACCCACCUACCCUUCUCAGAAUUGGAAGGAAUGUUCCACUGACUUCCAGCUUCUGCUCCUCCCCGUGGCUUUGUUUUCAUAAAACCUCCAGUAAUAAGAUUAAAACCCAACCUCAUUCAGUUGGGCCACACCUCAACUAAAAAUAACAUCUUCAAAGGUCCUGUUUACCAACAGGAAUGGAUUAAGAUUAAGAACAUGUCUUUUUCUGGGGUUCAUAAUUCUACCUUCUGCAUGGCCCAAAUCUUAAAUUUUUUUUAAAAGAACAAUUUUUUAGGAAAAUUUCUGGAAAACUGAUAUCUUAAAAAAUUGCAAGCAGGUUCUUCCUGAAAGAGAUUAAGCUCAAAUUCCCCU